UCUAGAGCUAAUACACGCAUAACCGCCCAAUUUCUCGGAAGGGCUAUGUUUAUUAGUUACAGAACCAACGCAGGCUCUGCCUGAUGCUUUGGUGAGUGAUAGUAAAACAAUGAAUUGCACAGCAUUAGCUGGCGAUGAAUCAUUCAAGUUUCUGACCUAUCAGCUUUCGACGGUAGGAUAUAGGCUUACCGUGGCGAUGACGGGUAAUUCCAGCUCCAAUAGCGUAUAUUAAAGUUGUUGCGGUUAAAAAGCUCGUAGUUGGAUUUCUGCCGGGGACGACCGGUCCGCCUUUCGGGUGAGCAUCUGGUUCGGCCUUGGCAUAUUUUUGGCAAACGCUUCUGCACUUGACUGUGCGGUGCGGUGGUCAAGAGCUUUACUUUGAGGAAAUUAGAGUGUUCUAAGCAGGCAUCUGCCUUGAAUACAUUAGCAUGGAAUAAUGAUAUAGGACUUCGGUUCUAUUUUGUUGGUUUCUAGA
rnacentral:rRNA from 1 species